rnacentral:rRNA from 1 species
GGUGAAUGCUGGCGGCGUGCUUAACACAUGCAAGUCGAACGAGAACGGGAUAUAGCUUGCUAUAUUUGUCAGCUAAGUGGCGCACGGGUGAGUAAUGUAUAGAUAACCUGCCCUCUAGAAAGGAAUAACAGUUGGAAACGACUGCUAAUGCCUUAUAUGCCUUUAAUACAUAAGUAUGCAAGGGAAACGCUUUAGUGCUAGAGGAUGGGUCUGUAUGGUUUCAGCUUGUUGGUGAGGUAAUGGCUCACCAAGGCUAUGACGCCUAACUGGUUUGAGAGGAUGAUCAGUCACACUGGAACUGAGACACGGUCCAGACCCCUACGGGAGGCAGCAGUGGGGAAUAUUGCACAAUGGACGAAAGUCUGAUGCAGCAACGCCGCGUGGAGGAUGACACAUUUCGGUGCGUAAACUCCUUUUAUAUAGGAAGAUAAUGACGGUACUAUAUGAAUAAGCACCGGCUAACUCCGUGCCAGCAGCCGCCGUAA